AGCAGCCGCGGUAAUUCCAGCUCCAAUAGCGUAUAUUAAAGUUGUUGCAGUUAAAAAGCUCGUAGUUGAAUUUCGGGAUCAAUUAAUUGGUCGUGCCUAUGGUACGUACUGAUUUUAUUGGUUUCUCCCUUCUGACGAACCAUGAUGUCAUUAAUUUGGUGUCGUGGAGAAUCAGGACUGUUACUUUGAAAAAUUAGAGUGUUUAAAGCAGGCUAACGCUUGAAUACAUUAGCAUGGAAUAAUGAAAUAGGACGUUUGAUCCUAUUUUGUUGGUUUCUAGGAUCGACGUAAUGAUUAAUAGGGAUAGUUGGGGGCAUUAGUAUUCAAUUGUCAGAGGUGAAAUUCUUGGAUUUAUUGAAGACUAACUACUGCGAAAGCAUUUGCCAAGGAUGUUUUCAUUAAUCAAGAACGAAAGUUAGGGAUCGAAGACGAUCAGAUACCGUCGUAGUCUUAACCAUAAACUAUGCCGACUAGGGAUCGGAUGAUGUUAAUUUUUUAAUGUACUCAUUCGGCGUACCCG
rnacentral:misc_RNA from 1 species